ACUGGUGUAUGGAGGGGGGGGAUACACCAGUGGGCUAUUUUUCGCAAGGGAUCAACUAACUAAACCAAAUUUCAGUUCGAAAUAGGUUGAGACUGAUACUGAAGAUUCUUCAGUAGAUUAAUAUCAGUUGAGCGCUAGGCUUAAUCAAUGUCCAGAUAAGGCUUCAGUCUUAGUUUGUAAACAGAGUAGAGUUACUAAUCUCUCUGACUAACUGUAGUCAGUAG
rnacentral:lncRNA from 1 species